AGCAGUCGCCGCGGUAAUACGAGGGGGGCAAGCGUUGUUCGGAAUUAUUGGGCGUAAAGGGCGCGUAGGCGGUUUGACAAGUCUGAUGUGAAAUCUCUGGGCUCAACCCAGAGUCUGCAUCGGAAACUGUCGAGCUUGAGUAUGGGAGAGGUGAGUGGAAUUUCCGGUGUAGCGGUGAAAUGCGUAGAUAUCGGAAGGAACACCUGUGGCGAAAGCGGCUCACUGGACCAUUACUGACGCUGAGGCGCGAAAGCUAGGGGAGCAAACAGGAUUAGAUACCCCCGUAGUCCCUGUCUCUUAUAC
rnacentral:rRNA from 1 species